AGGAAAUAGAUACCCGGGUAGUCCUGGCCCUAAACGAUGUCCACUAGAUCAUGGGACCUUGACGGGUUUCAUGGUCGAAAGCAAAAAAGUGCUAAGUGGACCGCCUGGGAAGUACGGUCGCAAGGCUAAAACUCAAAGGAAUUGACGGGGGCUCACACAAGCGGUGGAGCAUGUGGUUAAAUUCGAAGCAACGCGCAGAACCUUACCUGGGCUUGACAUGCCAGGAUUAUCCUUAUGAAAGUAGGGUACGGCCCGCAAGGGCCGGAACUGGUACAGGUGCUGCAUGGCUGUCGUCAGCUCGUGUCGUGAGAUGUCGGGUUAAGUCCCUUAACGAGCGAAACCUUUGCCCUUAGUUACCAUCGGGUCAUGCCGGGGACUCUAAGGGGACUGCCGGUGUC
rnacentral:rRNA from 1 species